rnacentral:misc_RNA from 1 species
GUUGGUGAACCAGCGGAGGGAUCAUUACAGAAGGUCUAGCGCCUGAAAACCACUGUGAACCGUUCCAUUUGCUGCCUCGGCGGGCGAUCCCAGGGCGGGAUCGCGGCCCCCACGGGGGCGUCCGCCGGAGCGCGACACCUCCAGCUCUGUCUUCCAGCGGGCUUCUGAGUGAAAAAAAAAACAAUCAAAACUUUCAACAACGGAUCUCUUGGCUCUGGCAUCGAUGAAGAACGCAGCAUCUGACUGACUC